AGCAGCCGCGGUAAUUCCAGCUCCAAUAGCGUAUAUUAAAGUUGUUGCAGUUAAAAAGCUCGUAGUUGAAUUUCGGGACUAAUAUGUCGGUCGUACUUUGUACGUACUAGCAUUAUUGGUUUCUCCCUUCUGACGAACCACGAUGUCAUUAAUUUGGUGUCAUGGGAAAUCAGGACUGUUACUUUGAAAAAAUUAGAGUGUUUAAAGCAAGCUCGCGCUUGAAUACAUUAGCAUGGAAUAAUGAAAUAGGACGUUUGAUUCUAUUUUGUUGGUUUCUAGGAUCGACGUAAUGAUUAAUAGGGAUAGUUGGGGGCAUUAGUAUUCAAUUGUCAGAGGUGAAAUUCUUGGAUUUAUUGAAGACUAACUACUGCGAAAGCAUUUGCCAAGGAUGUUUUCAUUAAUCAAGAACGAAAGUUAGGGGAUCGAAGACGAUCAGAUACCGUCGUAGUCUUAACCAUAAACUAUGCCGACUAGGGAUCGGAUGAUGUUAAUUUUUAAUGACUCAUUCGGCNCCUUACGG
rnacentral:rRNA from 1 species